rnacentral:tRNA from 1 species
GCCUUCGUGGUGUAGUGAUCAGCACGCUCGACGUAACCGAGAGGUCCGUGGUUCGAUUCCGGGGGAAGGCG